rnacentral:rRNA from 1 species
AGCGAACGCUGGCGGCAGGCCUAACACAUGCAAGUCGAACGAACUCUUCGGAGUUAGUGGCGGACGGGUGAGUAACACGUGGGAACGUGCCUUUUGGUUCGGAAUAACUCAGGGAAACUUGUGCUAAUACCGAAUGUGCCCUUCGGGGGAAAGAUUUAUCGCCAUUAGAGCGGCCCGCGUCUGAUUAGCUAGUUGGUGAGGUAACGGCUCACCAAGGCGACGAUCAGUAGCUGGUCUGAGAGGAUGACCAGCCACACUGGGACUGAGACACGGCCCAGACUCCUACGGGAGGCAGCAGUGGGGAAUCUUGCGCAAUGGGCGAAAGCCUGACGCAGCCAUGCCGCGUGAAUGAUGAAGGUCUUAGGAUUGUAAAAUUCUUUCACCGGGGACGAUAGUGACGGUACCCGGAGAAGAAGCCCCGGCUAACUUCGUG